GACGAACGCUGGCGGCGUGCUUAACACAUGCAAGUCGAGCGGUAAGGCCCUUCGGGGUACACGAGCGGCGAACGGGUGAGUAACACGUGAGCAAUCUGCCCAUCACUUUGGGAUAACUGCGGGAAACCGCAGCUAAUACCGAAUACGACCACCUCCGGCAUCGGAUGGUGGUGGAAAGUUCCGGCGGUGAUGGAUGAGCUCGCGGCCUAUCAGCUUGUUGGUGGGGUAAUGGCCUACCAAGGCAACGACGGGUAGCCGGCCUGAGAGGGUGACCGGCCACACUGGGACUGAGACGCGGCCCAGACUCCUACGGGAGGCAGCAGUGGGGAAUAUUGGACAAUGGGCGAAAGCCUGAUCCAGCAACGCCGCGUGAGGGAUGACGGCCUUCGGGUUGUAAACCUCUUUCAGCAGGGACGAAGCGCAAGUGACGGUACCUGCAGAAGAAGCACCGGCCAACUACGUGCCAGCAGCCGCAGUAA
rnacentral:rRNA from 1 species